UGACAGGUGCUGCAUGGCUGUCGUCAGCUCGUGUCGUGAGAUGUUGGGUUAAGUCCCGCAACGAGCGCAACCCUCGCCUUUAGUUGCCAGCAUUCAGUUGGGCACUCUAGAGGGACUGCCGGUGUCAAACCGGAGGAAGGUGGGAUGACGUCAAGUUCUCAUGGCCUUUAUGUCUAGGGCUACACACGUACUACAAUGGCCGGUACAAAGGGCAGCCACUCAGCGAUGAGGCGCUAAUCCCAUAAAGCCGGUCUCAGUCCGGAUCGCAGUCUGCAACUCGACUGCGUGAAGUUGGAAUCGCUAGUAAUCGCGGAUCAGCAUGCCGCGGUGAAUACCGUUCCCGGGUCUU
rnacentral:rRNA from 1 species